rnacentral:rRNA from 1 species
UGAAACCGUGUGCUUACAAGUAGUCAGAGCCCGUUAAUGGGUGAUGGCGUGCCUUUUGUAGAAUGAACCGGCGAGUUACGAUCUGAUGCAAGGUUAAGCAGAAAAUGUGGAGCCGUAGCGAAAGCGAGUCUGAAUAGGGCGAAUGAGUAUUUGGUCGUAGACCCGAAACCAGGUGAUCUACCCUUGGUCAGGUUGAAGUUCAGGUAACACUGAAUGGAGGACCGAACCGACUUACGUUGAAAAGUGAGCGGAUGAACUGAGGGUAGCGGAGAAAUUCCAAUCGAACUUGGAGAUAGCUGGUUCUCUCCGAAAUAGCUUUAGGGCUAGCCUCAAGUGAUGAUUAUUGGAGGUAGAGCACUGUUUGGACGAGGGGCCCCUCUCGGGUUACCGAAUUCAGACAAACUCCGAAUGCCAAAUAAUUUAACUUGGGAGUCAGAAUGUGGGUGAUAAGGUCCAUAUUCGAAAGGGAAACAGCCCAGACCACCAGCUAAGGUCCCAAAAUAUAUGUUAAGUGGAAAAGGAUGUGGCGUUGCCCAGACAACUAGGAUGUUGGCUUAGAAGCAGCCAUCAUUUAAAGAGUGCGUAAUAGCUCACUAGUCGAGUGACACUGCGCCGAAAAUGUACCGGGGCUAAACAUAUUACCGAAGCUGUGGAUUGUCCUUUGGACAAUGGUAGGAGAGCGUUCUAAGGGCGUUGAAGCAUGAUCGCAAGGACAUGUGGAGCGCUUAGAAGUGAGAAUGCCGGUGUGAGUAGCGAAAGACGGGUGAGAAUCCCGUCCACCGAUUGACUAAGGUUUCCAGAGGAAGGCUCGUCCGCUCUGGGUUAGUCGGGUCCUAAGCUGAGGCCGACAGGCGUAGGCGAUGGAUAACAGGUUGAUAUUCCUGUACCACCAUUAUUCGUUUUAAGCGAUGGGGGGACGCAGUAGGAUAGGCGAAGCGUGCUGUUGGAGUGCACGUCCAAGCAGUGAGAUUGAGUGUUAGGCAAAUCCGGCACUCUUAAGAUUGAGCUGUGAUGGGGAGAGGAACUUGUUCCUCGAGUCGUUGAUUUCACACUGCCGAGAAAAGCCUCUAGCUAGAAUAACGGUGCCCGUACCGCAAACCGACACAGGUAGUCAAGAUGAGAAUUCUAAGGUGAGCGAGCGAACUCUCGUUAAGGAACUCGGCAAAAUGACCCCGUAACUUCGGGAGAAGGGGUGCUCUUUGAGGUUCACGCUUCGAAGAGCCGCAGUGAAUAGGCCCAAGCGACUGUUUAUCAAAAACACAGGUCUCUGCUAAACCGUAAGGUGACGUAUAGGGGCUGACGCCUGCCCGGUGCUGGAAGGUUAAGAGGAGUGGUUAGCGCAAGCGAAGCUACGAAUCGAAGCCCCAGUAAACGGCGGCCGUAACUAUAACGGUCCUAAGGUAGCGAAAUUCCUUGUCGGGUAAGUUCCGACCCGCACGAAAGGCGUAACGAUUUGGGCACUGUCUCAACGAGAGACUCGGUGAAAUCAUAGUACCGGUGAAGAUGCCGGUUACCCGCGACAGGACGGAAAGACCCCGUGGAGCUUUACUGUAGCCUGAUAUUGAAAUUCGGUACAGUUUGUACAGGAUAGGUAGGAGCCUUAGAAGCGUGAGCGCUAGCUUACGUGGAGGCAUUGGUGGGAUACUACCCUAAUUGUAUUGGAUUUCUAACCCGCAGCACUUAUCGUGCUGGGAGACAGUGUCAGGCGGGCAGUUUGACUGGGGCGGUCGCCUCCUAAAGAGUAACGGAGGCGCUCAAAGGUUCCCUCAGAAUGGUUGGAAAUCAUUCAUAGAGUGUAAAGGCAUAAGGGAGCUUGACUGCGAGACCUACAAGUCGAGCAGGGUCGAAAGACGGACUUAGUGAUCCGGUGGUUCCGCAUGGAAGGGCCAUCGCUCAACGGAUAAAAGCUACCCCGGGGAUAACAGGCUUAUCUCCCCCAAGAGUUCACAUCGACGGGGAGGUUUGGCACCUCGAUGUCGGCUCAUCGCAUCCUGGGGCUGUAGUCGGUCCCAAGGGUUGGGCUGUUCGCCCAUUAAAGCGGUACGCGAGCUGGGUUCAGAACGUCGUGAGACAGUUCGGUCCCUAUCCGUCGUGGGCGUAGGAAAUUUGAGAGGAGCUGUCCUUAGUACGAGAGGACCGGGAUGGACAUACCUCUGGUGUACCAGUUGUCGUGCCAACGGCAUAGCUGGGUAGCUAUGUAUGGACGGGAUAAGUGCUGAAAGCAUCUAAGCAUGAAGCCCCCCUCGAGAUGAGAUUUCCCAACUUCGGUUAUAAGAUCCCUCAAAGAUGAUGAGGUGAAU